rnacentral:rRNA from 1 species
GACGAACGCUGGAGGCGUGCUUAACACAUGCAAGUCGAACGAUGAAUGGAGCUUGCUCCAUGGAUUAGUGGCGAACGGGUGAGUAACACGUGAAUAACCUGCCCUUAAUUUUGGAAUAACCCAGGGAAACCUGGGCUAAUACCGGAUAAGUAAACCUGUGGCAUCACAUGGUUUUGGAAAGUUUUUCGAUUAAGGAUGGAUUCGCGGCCUAUCAGCUUGUUGGUGAGGUAAUGGCUCACCAAGGCGACGACGGGUAGCCGGCCUGAGAGGGUGAACGGCCACACUGGGACUGAGACACGGCCCAGACUCCUACGGGAAGCAGCAGUGGGGAAUAUUGCGCAAUGGACGAAAGUUUGACGCAGCGACGCCUCGUGAGGGACGAAGGUCUUCGGAUUGUAAACCUCUUUCAGCAGGGACGAAGCGAAAGUGACGGUACCUGCAGAAGAAGCACCGGCUAACUAUGUGCCAGCCGCCGCCGUAA